UAAUGUGGAUAUCUGUGUUUUCCAAUAGUCUUAGGCAACCCCUGUGAAAGGGUUAUUCGGCCCCUUUGGGUUGUGACCCAUAGGUUGAGAACCACUGGUGUAUGUUGUUCUGUUGUAUAUAGAUCACAUUUUCUUUUUUCAUCUAUUGGCAGAUACUUAGGUUGCUUACAUAUCUUGACUAUUAUCAGUAAUGCUGCAGUGAUGUUGGGGAGGCAGGAGGCAUGGAUGCUGAAGCUUUGACUCUAGAAAACAUACUUUCCUGAAAGCGGUGGUGUGGUGUGUCUGAUGCCGGUGUUUGUAGAAUUUGAAAUCCUCCCAGGAAUAGUAUUACAGGUUGGCUCAUAUCCUUGCACUUUGUCAGAUGCUCUUAGUACCGUCAUGUAUAUAGAGAAGAACAUGAAGACUCAUAUACCAAACUGUUAACUUGAAAGUUAAUGAAGGAAGAGAGGAAAAUUAGCAAAAGGUGCCAUUGGAGUUAGAAAGGUGAGAAUUUGGGUUAAUAAAGCAGUAAACUUGAUUUAAUGUGUUUAAGUAUUGGGAACAAAAUUAUUGAGUGCAAAGAAGAGUAACUGCUUCUAGGAUUGUGCAACAAGCAACACAUUUUACAGUGUAUUUACCAUGUAUGUAUAUUCCUGCACUAUUAUUUAAAGCAGAUCUUUCAUUUGGGGAACAGCAUAGCCCUUUAUAUGUAUUUUUAUUCCAGUUUUAAAAUUAAAAUUUAAAACUACAUGUAUUUAUUUUGUAUGUGUUUGUGUGUGGGUCAUGGAGUGAUAUAGGGGUCAAAGGAGAGCUUGUGAGAGUAGGUUCUCUUUCAACCAUGUGGAUUCUACAGAUUGACCUCUGGUUCUCGGGCUUGGAGGUGGCAAGUGCCUUUACCCUCAGUCAUCUUGCUGACCUAAUUAAAUUUUUAGCUCAUUAAUUAGUUAAUAUGUAUGUGUGUGGAUGAGUAUAUGAAAUUCAAAGAACAACUCUCUGGAGUUAGCUCUCCUUCACUCAGUUGUCAGGCUUGUUGGCAAGUGUCUAUCUGCUGAGCAAUCUUGACGGCCCUUUUCCUCACAAGUUUUGUUUGGUUUUUACAACUUAAAAACCAAAAUAAUCCUUUUAAACCAUUUGUAUUUUCAUCAUCUCUAAAACAAAUUAUAUUUUCAGUCUUUCAUUUUUAAGUAAUUAAGGGAAAAUACAGAGCAGAGAGGACAUUUCAGGUAGAGGAAAUAAUGAAGUAAUUAUGUAAAGGUCAGGUGAAGACCCUUCCUUGUCUGCGCAAGCUGGACUGGGAUGAAGUAAUCAGAGUCAGUAGAUGUUGAGGAAGCUGGUGUGGGCUAGAUGGUGUAGAGCCUGGUAAUUAUGGCAAGAAUUUGAAUUCUGUCAAAGUUUUGAGCAGGGAUGUGAAAUGGUUUGGUUCAGUUUACAAAAGAAAUGACUGUGAGAUGAGGUGCAGAAUAGGUUGGAAUUGAAAUUUUCUGGUUAGAGACUUAGCCAAAGAUACACUGAAUUACUUAACCUUUGAGGUACAUGGAUUGCUGUAUAUGUGAAAAUGACCAAUGAGGGACUGUGGCAAUUAUGUUUUUUUAAUGACCUUUAAGUGCUAAAUACAUUUAGCAAAAUAUUAAACCUGAGGUCAGAUUCUGUAUGUAGUUAAUUUGCUCUUAAACUUGAUCAAGUCUUUUAAGUUCUAAGCUUCUUUAUCUGUAAAUUUAAGAAACAUGUGUUUAACUUAAUUGUAUUAAUCGCUUAACUCUAGUUCACAUAUGGGCUGAGUCUUGCUGAGUCAUUUUCUCAGACUGUGUGGGCGAGGCUUAAUUAAAACCAACUAAGAAAACUUAAUAAUACCCCAUACCUCUUCUGUUAUUUCAUGUAUGUUUCAUUUAUUGUGCCUCUGCCUCCACCUCCAGUUUUUCAAGAAAGAAUCUUGCUAAAUAAUCCAACAGGCCUGGAACAUGCAUUCUAUGUGCCUAGGUGCUAGGAUUGCAAAUAACAUUAUGAUUUCUGCAGUUGAACCAUCGGAGGGUAGUGGACUCUUUGGCAGUAGCAUGCUUGUAGCUAGUUGCAUCUAUUAAAUUGCUUUUUUGAGGGACUGGAGUGAUGGCUUAGCGGUUAAGAGCAUUGCCUGCUCUU